rnacentral:tRNA from 1 species
AGGGAAAUAGCUCAGAGGUAGAGCACAUGCCUAGCAUGUACGAGGUCCUGGGUUCAAUCCCAGUAGCUCCA